AUCCAGAUAGCUAUCACUGUUGGAGAUGCUCUAAGGGCAGGAAACCACCCGAUUCAAAUUGUUUGAAAUUCUUGACUAAAACAACACAAGUGGAAGAAAGUGCUGGAUUAUUCAGUUUUGUUUUGCUGGUCAGGAAGCUGGAUUUAGAAAUGGAUAGAAAGAAGGAAUGAAAGAAACAGAGGGGUCCGUUCGAUCUUUUGUUGUUGGUUGCUGAUCAAAGGAUUGUUAAUAGGGAGGGCAUUUUCAUCUGUUCUUUGUUUAUCGGGUUAAAAGAUUAUUCCCAACCACUAUCUUGCUUCAAGUCAUUUUCUUCAGUGAGUACCAGACCCAGCAAGGGUAACCAAAGCACCACAGCAACUUCAUCAUGUACUCAUCAAGUGUGCUUAAUAGCUGGAUGAAGAUUCAUAGUUGAAGGCUACAGACUUUGGCCUGUCAGAUUUUGUGAAACCAGAUGAAAAGUUUAUCAAAAUUGUUGGUGGUACAUACUGUGUAGCCCCCAAAGUGUUACAUAUGGCUUAUGGUACAGAGGCUGUUGUCUGGAGCGUAGGUGUGAUUGCACACAUUCUAUUGUGUGGCAGCUGUCCAUUUUGGCCUUGAACGAAGUUUGGCAUUUUUCGGGCAGUUCUAAAAGUUGAUCCAAGUUUCAAUGAACCACCUUGGCCACAUUCUCUACAGAGGCAAAAGUAAUUUUGUCAAGCGCCUAUUGAAUCAAGACCCACGGAAAAGAAUUACCACUGCACAAGCAUGAAGUCAUCCCUGCCUUGAACAUCAUAACACUGUUAAACUUCCUCUGGACAUAAUAAUAUUGAAGCUCAUGAAGGUUUAUAUGCGCUUAUCACCUCUCCGCAAAACUGCUUUAAGGGGAGUUUUUUGCUCAGCUUUCCAGGUUGGUGUAUCAACAUGGUGUCUUAACAUGACAGGGCCGAUUUUUGUAUCUCUGUUCAAGCCUUUGGGGAUCGUAGUUGCAGUUGCCACUGGUUUUGGAGUGUAGCAUACUCUUUACUCUCUGGGUUCAGAAAAUCUAGAAAGAAAGCACGGGCUAGCUAGCUUAAUUUUGAGUUUAACUACCAAAAGACUAAUUGACUGAAAACACGUAUCAAUAACAAAGAAACCCGCCGCAAAGCGCGGGCUAUCUAUCUAGUUAAUAUAGAAGCAGUCACGCGGAGUGAUACAACCAUGUCUAUGACUAAUUUUGUACAAUCAUGUUCCACGUUGCUACUA